AGAGUUUGAUCAUGGCUCAGAAUCAACGCUGGCGGCGUGCCUAACACAUGCAAGUCGAGCGAGAAAAGGGGAGCAAUCCUCUGAGUAAAGCGGCGCACGGGUGAGUAACACGUGGGUAAUCUGCCCUGGAGUGGGGAAUAACACCGGGAAACCGGUGCUAAUACCGCAUACGAUCACGAUGUCUGCGGAUGUUGUGAUGAAAGGAGCAAUUCGCUCCAGGAUGAGCCCGCGGCUGAUUAGCUAGUUGGUGAGGUAAUGGCUCACCAAGGCUACGAUCAGUAUCCGGUCUGAGAGGACGGUCGGACACACUGGAACUGAGACACGGUCCAGACUCCUACGGGAGGCAGCAGCGGGGAAUUUUUCGCAAUGGGGGCAACCCUGACGAAGCAACGCCGCGUGGAUGAUGAAGUAUCUUGGUACGUAAAAUCCUUUCGACAGGGAAGAAGCCGCAAGGUUGACGGUACCUGUAGAAGAAGCCCCGGCUAACUCCGUGCCAGCAGCCGCGGUAAUACGGGGGGGGCAAGCGUUGUUCGGAAUUACUGGGCGUAAAGGGUGCGUAGGCGGUUUGCUAAGUUGGAUGUGAAAACUCUGGGCUUAACCCAGAGCCUGCAUCCAAAACUGGCAAGCUAGAG
rnacentral:rRNA from 1 species